UACAGAGGGGGCAAGCGUUAUUCGGAAUUAUUGGGCGUAAAGGGCGCGUAGGCGGCCUGGCAAGUGGAUGGUGAAAUCCCUCGGCUUAACCGAGGAACUGCCAUCCAGACUGCUUGGCUUGAGACCGGGAGAGGUGAGUGGAAUUCCCAGUGUAGCGGUGAAAUGCGUAGAUAUUGGGAGGAACACCAGUGGCGAAGGCGGCUCACUGGACCGGUACUGACGCUGAUGCGCGAAAGCGUGGGGAGCAAACAGGG
rnacentral:rRNA from 1 species